rnacentral:rRNA from 1 species
GUAGGGAAUAUUGGGCAAUGGAGGCAACUCUGACCCAGCCAUGCCGCGUGCAGGAAGACGGUCCUCUGGAUUGUAAACUGCUUUUGAAUGGGAAGAAACGCACUUUUGCGAAAGUGUUUGACGGUACUAUUAGAAUAAGCACCGGCUAACUCCGUGCCAGCAGCCGCGGUAAUACGGAGGGUGCAAGCGUUAUCCGGAUUUAUUGGGUUUAAAGGGUGCGUAGGCGGCUUAAUAAGUCUGGGGUUAAAGGCGGCAGCUUAACUGUACGCAUGCCCUGGAAACUGUGAGGCUUGAGUGACUUGGAGGUAGCUGGAAUUCCCUGUGUAGCGGUGAAAUGCAUAGAUACGGGGAGGAAUACCGAUUGCGAAGGCAUGUUACUACGAGUAAACUGACGCUGAUGCACGAAAGCGUGGGGAUCAAACAGGAUUAGAUACCCGAGUAGUCC